GUCUUUUGUACUUUGCAGAUUUUUUUAGGUUUCAUACUUUCUUUUGAUUAUUUUGAACUGCUGCAAAUACAUUUCAGCCUACACUUUCUCAUAAAUAUUGUGGGUGGCUUUUAUUUAGACUUCUUCAGUUUCUACAGAUGGUAUAAAAAUCUUACUCCUUAGAGCUGAGAUUUGAGAAUUGCAUAAAGUGAAUUUUUAUUGCCCAUUUAAAAAUUAGUAUGGAGAAUAGGACUAACCUGGAUUCAUGAGAUCUUUUGUAAAACAAUUUUCUCUACAUCGAAACUUCUUGAGCAGAGGUAAAUGUUUCCACAUUUGAUUAUUUUAAAGGUUCUUCUCUGUUCAAAUUAUAGGCUAAGAUUUUGUGAUUUCAUUUCUGUAUCUCUUCUUGUAAAUUCAGGAAAAUGACCAGUUCUCUUGAGAUUCACCCUUCUUGCAGCAAAUGUACUUCUGAUAAGGAUGAAUGCACGACAGCAGUUGGAAACUGUGUAGAUGGGGAUUUCUCUGCCAGCAUGUUUUAUCUUUGAUGGAUUUAGCACACCCCUACAGAGCACAUCUGCUGCUGGUUUACAAAGGUCUAAAUCCAAAUUUGACUCAAAAUUUACAUGGCAAACUUGAUCCACUGUGGAGUUUCUCCAGUAUUCUCUUGUGGGUCCAGUGAAUUCUUCAGUAGUUGAUUGACUGUAAGUAUUCUUAAUUUGACUAAUAAGGAUGGUUGGGAUAAAUAUAAUUGGAUAUUACAAAAACAGAAAAUAAAUCAUGGCAAACAUGUAUAGAGCAUGCCCAAUGUUCCAGGCACUGUUUUGUGUUUAUAAAUAUUAACAUAUGCUACAAAUCAUUACUCUCUAUGCUUUGUACAUAUGAUAUCCCUAGAUAAAAAAAGUUAUUUACUUAUUCAUAAAUACAAGAACUUUUCUAUGUCUGUAAAAAUUAGCAUUACUAAGCAUCAAUUACUUGCAAAAAUUUGCAUAUAAUUUAACUACACUAAUCUAUCUGGAGGAGUUUUGAUUCUAGUUAUGAAGAUUUUUUUUAAAAAUCAUGUUUAUUAGAAUACAGUAUAAUUCAAUGAAUACAAAGUUCUAGGUGAUCACUUAAGAUGAUGUUACUGAUAGUUUAGGCUUAAACUUUCAUAAAUCCUUUGUCUACUGAGUCAUCAAACCAUUCAAUGGUACUGUUACUCUGGAAGCAUAUGCAUACUUCAAAAUAAUCUAGUUCAGUUUAAAACUUUGAGUCCUUAAUAUAGAAAAAGAACUUAUUGCCCCCAGUAAAUAAAUAGCUCAUACAUUGUGUGCUUUAUGAUCUAGUUUUAAAGAUAAAUUAAUGUAUGGGGAAGCAUUUGAGAAAGAAUAUAAUUAAAACCUGGGAAUUUAGAGCAAAAAAAAGAGUUUGCUGGUGUUCAGAACAGAGCAGUGAGAAUGACUAUAGGGAGAACAGACAAAGGUAUUACAUCUUAAAACAGUAGAAUUAACUUUUUGUAACUUAAGCCCAGUUCAUCUAGUCUACUAAAAUUUAAAAUGGAGAAAGCAAUUUAAUCAUUUUUUAAUUUCAUUUUCAUUAGUGAUAAUCAAAACCCCAUAAGUGAUCAUGAAUUUUAUCCUCUAGUAAGUGACCGUUCCUUUAAUGUGGUAAAUAAUAACUGAAAUCUCUGAGUUUCCUGAUUGUGGGGUAUAGCCAAUUAGAUACUUGAACGCCCCCUUGAAAUUUUUAUUCCUCAUCCCCUUUUACUAAAGUAUAAGGGAUACAACACAAACAUAUUUUUAUGCUUACAACAGAGCUCAUAAAAAUGAGAGAAAUUCCAAGGAUCCAAAAAUAGAGAACUAAACCUACAACUUAAACCCUUUGUCACAUAUGAGUUUGAUUUAUAAUCUUGGUCAUGUAGAAGCUGUGAGUCUCCUUGGGGGAUUUUUUUGGAUGCAAACUGUUAUGUUUGGAAUGAAUGGGCAAUGGGGUCCUACUGUACAGCACAGGGAAAUGCGUGUUAUUGGCUCACUUUGCUGUGCAACGGAACUUGAAAAAACAUUGUAAAUUAACUAUACUUUAAUAAAAAAAAAGAAGCUGUGGGUCUAAUGCAUAUAUGAGAUAUGAAGAUUGAAGGUAGCACUAGGCUGAUUUGAAAAUGUGACCCAUUUAUUAAGAACAGAUGGUUAUGGAUUUAAUUGUAUCCCCCAGAAUUCAUAUGUUCAGGUCCUUAUCUCCAAUAUCUCCUAUGUGACCUUAUUCAGAGACCUGGUUUCUAUAGAGGCACCAAAAUUAAAAUCAGGUAAUUAGGAUUGGACCUAAUCUAAUCUGACUGGUUUCUUAUAAGAAGAGGAAAUUUGGACCCAGAUACAUAUAUAGGGAGACCCAUUAAUGUACAUAUCACACUUAGCUGUAGAUACGAAUUUGAGAAAAUAAAGAGUUAACUUAAAGAAAAUAUAUUGGAAUUCACCCAUAUGCAAUGAAGUAAGAUUAAUAGAUGAUGUUACGAAAGACAAAUUAAAAGAUGUGUAGAUAAGUGAGAAAUCCAGUAUAUCACACUGGAAAUCCCAGAGAAGAAAAAAGAGAGCGAAUGGGGAAGUUAAUAUUAAAAAAAAAUAGUAAUAAGAGUUUUCAAAAUUGAUACGAAUUUUCAGAUUUAGGAAAUAGGCAAUCUUGAGUAUAAAAAAUACUUUUUAAUCCAUAGACUAGGAAAAUUUCAGAACACCAGAGACAAAGGUUAGGUCAUAAAAAGGACCUUAAAAAUACAGAUUAUAUAGGAAUAAAAAUUAUACAUUUUAACAGGGACAAAAGUAAAUAUAAAGCAGUGGAAAAAUAUCUUUAAUGUGAUGUGAGAAAACAACAGGGAACUUUGAAUUCUCUACUGAAAUAAGCUUCUGAAAUAUCUGACAGUUUUUUACAAAAGACAUUUUCAGAUAGAAACCAUUGCUAACAUACUACUGUGUGAAAAACUACUGAAUUAUAUAUUCAAAAUGGGAGAAAUCAAAAGCAACACAGAUGGUGAAAUGAAAGGGAAACAGUAGCAAAAAACUGUUAAACAUCUAAAUAAAUCUAAAAAUGCAUUGAUUAUAUAAUGCCAGGAAAUGAACUAUAAUGUCUGAUUUGGAGGGAUAUUAAAUAAAGUGGAACUAAGAUACUAGGCAAAAAUAGCAUGCAAGUGUAAUGCAAGAGGGAAGAAAAUCAAUUAGAUUUUAAAACAUUUUCUUCUAUUUUUAUAUUUUAUUGCUU
rnacentral:lncRNA from 9 species